rnacentral:rRNA from 1 species
GGCCAGACUCCUACGGGAGGCAGCAGUGGGGAAUAUUGCACAAUGGGGGAAACCCUGAUGCAGCGACGCCGCGUGAAGGAAGAAGUAUUUCGGUAUGUAAACUUCUAUCAGCAGGGAAGAAAAUGACGGUACCUGACUAAGAAGCUCCGGCUAACUACGUGACAGCAGCCGCGGUAAUACGUAGGGAGAAAGCGUUGUCCGGAAUUACUGGGUGUAAAGGGAGCGUAGGCGGGGAUGCAAGUUGGGUGUCAAAACUCCCGGCUCAACCGAUAGUCGCACUCAAAACUGCAACUCUUGGGUGAAGUAGAGGCAGGCGGAAUUCCUAGUGUAGCGGUGAAAUGCGUAGAUAUUAGGAGGAACACCAGUGGCGAAGGCGGCCUGCUGGGCUUUUACUGACGCUGAGGCUCGAAAGUGUGGGGAGCAAACAGGAUUAGAUACCCGGGUAGAG